UAAAAGUUUUAUUCUUGCUUAAUAAUUUAUUAUAAGAUAAUAUUAUAUGUAUCACUUUAAUGUUUAACUUCUUAAUGAUUAAAAUAUUAUAGUUUCAGUAAUAAGUAUUGUUUAUGAGGUAACCCUUUAUUCAGUUAUUUUUAUUAAAUAUUGAUUAAAUAUGUGCCAGCAGUCGCGGUUAGACAUAGAAUAUGAAUAAAUUUAUUUAGUUAAUUAGUUAUUUGUACAGAUAAUUGAAAUUGAUUAAUUUUAUGGUGAAAUAUAAAUUUUUGUUUUAAAUUAAUUUUUUAUAAAGAGAGGCUAAGAAAUUUAAGAUAAAUAAACUAGGAUUAGAUACCCUAUUAUUUUAAAUUUAAAUGUUUAUACUUGAGUAGUAUUUGUUAAAGGCAUGAAACUUAAAGAAUUUGGCGGUAUUUUAGUCUUUUUAGAGGAAUCUGUUCCGUUAUCGAUAUUCCGCGUUGGACCUUACUUAAUUAAUAAAUUUAAGAUUUGUAUACCGCCGUUUAUGAAUAUUCUUUUAGGAAAUAUUCUUUAUAUUUUAUUAAAUUUUAUUUCAGGUCAAGGUGCAGUUUAUAAUUAAGUGGAAAUGGAUUACAAUAUAAUUUAUAUAAAUGAAUUAUAAGUUUGGAUACUUAUUUGAAGGUGGAUUUAAUAGUAAUUUUAAUUAGAAUAUUAUUAUGAUUUUAGCUCUAAAAUGUGCACACAUCGCCCGUCACUCUCAUUAAUAAGAUGAGAUAAGUCGUAACAAAGUAGGUGUACCGGAAGGUGUAGCUAGAAAGAU
rnacentral:ncRNA from 1 species